rnacentral:rRNA from 1 species
AUGCAAGUCGAGGGGUAAGGCCCAUUUCGGUGGGCACACGACCGGCGCACGGGUGCGUAACGCGUAUGCAACCUACCUUUAACAGGGGGAUAGCCCGAAGAAAUUCGGAUUAAUACCCCAUAACAUUAUUUUAUGGCAUCAUGAAAUAAUUAAAACCCCGGUGGUUAAAGAUGGGCAUGCGUGACAUUAGCUGGUUGGUGUGGUAACGGCACACCAAGGCUACGAUGUCUAGGGGUUCUGAGAGGAUGAUCCCCCACACUGGUACUGAGACACGGACCAGACUCCUACGGGAGGCAGCAGUAAGGAAUAUUGCGCAAUGGAGGCAACUCUGACGCAGCCAUGCCGCGUGCAGGAAGACGGCCUUAUGGGUUGUAAACUGCUUUUAUAAAGGGAUAAACCCCCGCUCGUGAGCGGGGCUGAAGGUACUUUAUGAAUAAGCACCGGCUAACUCCGUGCCAGCAGCCGCGGUAAUACGGAGGGUGCAAGCGUUAUCCGGAUUUAUUGGGUUUAAAGGGUGCGCAGGCGGACCUGUCAGUCAGUGGUGAAAUCCCGGGGCUCAACUCCGGAACUGCCAUUGAUACUGCAGGUCUUGAAUACGGUUGAGGUAGGCGGAAUGUAGCAUGUAGCGGUGAAAUGCAUAGAUAUGCUACAGAACACCGAUCGCGAAGGCAGCUUACCAAGCCGAUAUUGACGCUCAGGCACGAAAGCGUGGGGGAGCGAACAGGAUUAGAUACCCUGGUAGUCCACGCCGUAAACGAUGAUCACUCGUUGUUGG